UACGUAGGAUGCAAGCGUUGUCCGGAAUUAUUGGGCGUAAAGAGCGCGCAGGCGGUAACUCAAGUCAGAUGUGAAAUAUCCGGGCUUAACCCGGAGGGGUCAUUUGAAACUGAGUAACUAGAGUACAGCAGAGGAUAGCGGAAAUUCCCCGGUGUAGUGGUGAAAUGCGUAGAUAUCGGGAGGAACACCAGUGGCGAAGGCGGCUAUCUGGGCUGAAACUGACGCUGAGGAGCGAAAGCAUGGGGAGCGAACAGG
rnacentral:rRNA from 1 species